UACUGCCCUCAUGCGAUGGAAAGGGAGCGAGAGCGACGAGACUGCGAGUGUUGUUGAUGCGACACAAAAGCCGUCCAUCUGAGAGCGGAAGCGCCGCCACUUUCAGUGAGAUAAGUGCUGCACUUGCAGAGGAAUUGUCCAGGAGUCCCAGCCGGAGGAGAAACUGGCAAACGUAG
rnacentral:lncRNA from 1 species